ensembl:antisense
AUGAACCCACAGAACUGGGUUGUUCACCUGCUGGUUUCCUGACUGUGAUUCCUUGAAGUUGGGAAGAAACAGUCUUCUGCACUUGGGCAGUCACAGGGCAUUUGGACUCAUUUAAAGUUCUGUGGUCCCAGCACGCAAUGUUAGCCUGUGAGUCGACCCUUUCACAGUGAUGUUUAUCAGGUUUCCUAGUUAUUUCUGCUAGAACACCGUGAUUUUAAACUAUCUUACUACCACAUGGAAAACUCGCGCUUUCAUGACUUGCUUUACUUAAAAAUAUGGAAGCAAGAGCUAAUUUAAGGUGCUCUUGAAACCAUCCUUGGUGACCCUGCCUGCUACGCAGCAUAUCAGGUGCUUAAGACAAAAGACUUAGAAUUCAAAGCCAGCAACCAUCAGGAUUUCUGCCUGUGUUAGGUUUGAUGUUCCGUAUUGAAUUCUCCGUCUCUCAUGUGAGCCUGUCAUCGUUCAUAUUUGGCAAUAUUUGAACAUCAGUGGUAUCCGCCUUGAACUUCCGUUAUUUCUCCGAAGCAGAACACCGAGAUAAUUCCUUCUUGAAUACAAAGGUAUCAGAAAUAUGUUCAUAGCAUUGCCAAAUGAGGUCGGUAUAUUAAAGAAGUUACACUGGAAACAUACAAUAUUGAGAAUUCCCAUCUCUUCUUGGGAAGGUUUAUUCCUGUGAAGUUCAAGCUUGAGUCUGUAAUGGAGUUACAAACCCCAUUGCAGAAAGGGCUUCAUACUUCCCUGAUACAUUAUGAUUCAAAAGGAAGCUGUUUCAGAGCAAAGACUGUGCAGAGUCCCUAUUGAGUUCUUUGUCAGGGAGUGUGUUUACCUAUGGAUGCAGAACAGCUUCCUCGAUUUAGAGAAACUAGAGUCAAGAAGCAGUACAUUCACCUAGACACUUGAUUGGCAUGUCUGUUUAGAAUGAGGUCAUGAGUGGUCUGUCCUCCCCCUGAAUAUUGCAGUGGAAGGCAUUGUCAGCAACCACAAGGACAGAAUUUCUGAGCAUAGCAAGUUUUCUAAUAUGUGUAUGUGUUGAGGUUCGGUGUGUUGUUAUGUAUUGUUAUGCUAAAUUCUCUACUCAAAGGUCUAGACCCUAUACUGACUUCUCACAUUUACAAGGUUCUGUUGUGUAAACCUUGUUCCUUGAUUUAAAAUUACUGGAUAAAUCAAAUUGGCUACAGCCAAUUACUGGAGGGGUUUGAGGCAGGUGAGUUUUGAGUUAGCUGGUAGGAGGUAGAGAAAAGAGAGAAGGAAGAGACACCAGGACAAGGAGGAGGAAUGGGAAAAAAAGGAUGAAGCUGCCCUGGGGCAGAUGGACCAUGAGCAUGUGGCCAGGAGAAACUGCAACUUCCACUGGGAAGGCAGCCAGGACAGCAGUUAGAAGAGUAGAUUAAGGGUUGCAGCUCAGUAAUUGUCAAAGCCAAAUGAAAUAACCCUAAUCCGAAUUGAGUUUAUUUGUAAGGCGUAACCUUAAAUUGGUUAUAUUACACAUGUAUAUGUGUACAUCUAUGUUUGUGUCUGCUACAUGCACACCUACCUUAGAGGGUCGUCAUUCACGUGAGAUGUGCCCAUCCUUGAAGUUGCAGCAUCCAUUUACAAGUCUUCUGCAGUCUCCAUUUCUGUGCAUUGUAAUUGUGUGAUUCAAUAGGAGGAGGAGCUACCAUAGUGUAGUCACAACCUGAACAUGUGAUCAAAGAAGAGCGUAAUUCAGCAGAAUAUUAGGGACCCAGGCAUACUUAUCAAAACAUCUAAUGGAGCAGAUAUUCAGGCCUAAUAUGUUUGUUUAGACCAAGUUCACCAUUUUAAGUUUAUUUUCUACUCUCAUUUUUUAACAUCCUGACCAUUUAGUUUUCUCCCUUUGAAACAUUCUCCAAUAGGUGCCAUGUUUGACAAAAUCACUUUAAAAUCUUUGCUUACAAACUAAAGAGAUUGUUCAAUAGUUGAGAGUAAUUACUGUCUUAUAAAAGAUGAGUUUGUCUUCUAACACACUUGUAAUGGCUUUCAAGCACAUAUAAGCAUUAGUUCUAGAGGAUCAGAUAUCUUCUUUUCACAUCAUCAGGCACCAAUUGUAGAAAAGAUAGGCACACAGACAGACACACACGGAAACAAAUUUCUAGUAAAGUGAAAUAAAAUGUAUAAUUGAAAAUUUAUGCUGCCCAUGGUGGUACAUCCACCUAUUUUGACUAGACAGGGGUCAGAGAGAGCUGGAUCUCUCAGUUGGAGGAUGGCAAUUUAUAAAGUGAAUUUCAAGAAUAUCAAUGCAGAAACCCUGUCUGGAACAAGUACAAUAAAAAUAAGAAGUAAAACCAAGGCUUCAUGUUUAGAAAACAAUGAUAUUUGAAAGGAAUAUUUUUUUAACUGUUUAAACAUAACACAAAUUGUUAAACACCUACCAAUUGCCAUUUUAAAAGAUAGAUACUUUCACCAGCAAAAGCCCACUGAAAUAGAGCCCUUCCUAGUGCAGUUCUCAAGAACCCCAUAUGUCUACCAUUUUGGCUGGCUUGAAGUUUCAGAGGUUUACUCCAUUAUAAUCAUGGUGGGAAGCAUGGCAGCAUGCAGGCUGACAUGGUGCCUGAGAGGAAGCUGAGACUUCUACAUCUUGAUCCAAAGUCAGCCAGAAGGAGCUUAUGUCCCACAUUGGAGACAGGUAGUGAUACGUGAAGACACACACACACACACACACACACACACACACACAUGAAUGACCUGGAAGCCUGUCUCUACAGUGACACACUUCCUCUAAAACUCCAUACCGACUCCAAUAAGGCCCCAUUUCCUAUUAGCAUUCAAAGAUAUGAGUUUAUGGGAGAAAGAAAAGUUUACAAAAUAUCACAUUUCAGGUCCUGGUGCCCAUAAGCCUCUGAUUAUAACACAAUGGAGAAUGCAUUUUGUCCAUCUUGAAAACUCUCCAUAGUCUAUCACCAUCUCAACAGUGUUUAAAAGCAAAGUUCAAAGUCUACAACAUUUGGGACCCAGAAUCAGGACUCCUCCAAAGGAAUAGUUUCAAUUCUCCAGCUCUGUGCUCUGUAGCCCUUUAAGCUCUGGCUGGUUCCAUUCCAUUUGUACUUCACUUGUUGGUGAUAUCCUAUGGUACUGGCAUCUUCAAUGCACUGGGGUUUUCCAUUGCAACUAGGCUGUAAUUUCACCAAUCACCUCUCAUAGGCUCUCCUCAUGGUGACAUGCAUCAACUCUUUUGCAUGACCUCUUCAAUCCUGGGCUUUCAACUACCAAUGAGGCUACACCUUCACCAAUACUAGUUGGUACCAGCUGAGGGUAUAAAUGAACAGCCACUAUUCAUCAAAUGAGAAUUCUAUCUUGACUUCAGAACUGGCAAAUGAAAUAGCCCAUGUGAGAGUUACAACUUUUCCUUAUUAUUAAGUCAAUAAGGGUAUUUGUGAGCAAGCUUGGGCUUCCACUCAGAAAGGAUCUUAACAGGAAAGGGAGUGGGGUCAAAAGGCUGCACUCACAUCACAUGAGAUGUACAACAAAGGGUUCUGUUUUGUUUGGUUGAUUUUUGUUGUUGUUUGGUUUUUCACUGUACGCCUGCACAAUGGACAGUUUUUUAGAAGGGAUCCUUUGUAUAUAUAUAUAAGUCUUGUCUCAGCAAAGACAAAUUUCUUUUUCAGAGCCUCCCUGAGGAGGCUCCAGAGGGUAUGGGGUACAGUGUCAGGAUAACCUGGCCUGGCCUAAGUCACCUUAUUCCCCAGUUCUAUUAGUUCUUAUCAAAUCCUUGAAUUUUAUGAAGGGGCAGGAACUGGGCCCUUGGACUCAUUUUUCUUGAGGCAACCUAACAUUUGAAAAAGAUUAACAACCAGUUAAUUCAUCAGAGCCCAGUUGUAAGAUCCGAUGGAGCACAACAGACAAGAGCACCAGACUUGAACAAAGUCUUUUCCCUUACAUCCUUAGCAUGUUAUGGUAUGUGGCUCACAUGCAAUUUACUCUGAUAGGGUCUAUUUCCUGUCCCAGAGGAGUGGUACUCUUGAGCCUGGGGUUGUCCUGCCGUCUAAGGAUAUUGUAGAUUUA